rnacentral:rRNA from 1 species
GAUGAACGCUGGCGGCGUGCCUAAUACAUGCAAGUCGAGCGAACGGACGAGAAGCUUGCUUCUCUGAUGUUAGCGGCGGACGGGUGAGUAACACGUGGGUAACCUACCUAUAAGACUGGGAUAACUUCGGGAAACCGGAGCUAAUACCGGAUAAUAUUUUGAACCGCAUGGUUCAAAAGUGAAAGACGGUCUUGCUGUCACUUAUAGAUGGAUCCGCGCUGCAUUAGCUAGUUGGUAAGGUAACGGCUUACCAAGGCAACGAUGCAUAGCCGACCUGAGAGGGUGAUCGGCCAUACUGGAACUGAGACACGGUCCAGACUCCUACGGGAGGCAGCAGUAGGGAAUCUUCCGCAAAGGGCGAAAGCCUGACGGAGCAACGCCGCGUGAGUGAUGAAGGUCUUCGGAUCGUAAAACUCUGUUAUUAGGGAAGAACAUAUGUGUAAGUAACUGUGCACAUCUUGACGGUACCUAAUCAGAAAGCCACGGCUAACUACGUG